rnacentral:rRNA from 1 species
CAUGCAAGUCGAGCGGAUGACGGGAGCUUGCUCCCUGAUUUAGCGGCGGACGGGUGAGUAAUGCCUAGGAAUCUGCCUGGUAGUGGGGGAUAACGUUCCGAAAGGAACGCUAAUACCGCAUACGUCCUACGGGAGAAAGCAGGGGACCUUCGGGCCUUGCGCUAUCAGAUGAGCCUAGGUCGGAUUAGCUAGUUGGUGAGGUAAUGGCUCACCAAGGCGACGAUCCGUAACUGGUCUGAGAGGAUGAUCAGUCACACUGGAACUGAGACACGGUCCAGACUCCUACGGGAGGCAGCAGUGGGGAAUAUUGGACAAUGGGCGAAAGCCUGAUCCAGCCAUGCCGCGUGUGUGAAGAAGGUCUUCGGAUUGUAAAGCACUUUAAGUUGGGAGGAAGGGCAUUAACCUAAUACGUUAGUGUUUUGACGUUACCGACAGAAUAAGCACCGGCUAACUUCGUGCCAGCAGCCGCGGUAAUACGAAGGGUGCAAGCGUUAAUCGGAAUUACUGGGCGUAAAGCGCGCGUAGGUGGUUCGUUAAGUUGGAUGUGAAAGCCCCGGGCUCAACCUGGGAACUGCAUCCAAAACUGGCGAGCUAGAGUACGGUAGAGGGUGGUGGAACUUCCUGUGUAGCGGUGAAAUGCGUAGAUAUAGGAAGGAACACCAGUGGCGAAGGCGACCACCUGGACUGAUACUGACACUGAGGUGCGAAAGCGUGGGGAGCAAACAGGAUUAGAUACCCUGGUAGUCCACGCCGUAAACGAUGUCAACUAGACGUUGGUUCCUUGAGAACUUAGUGCGCAGCUAACGCAUUAGUGACGUCUGGGGAGUACGGUCGCAAGGUUAAAACUCAAAUGAAUUGA